rnacentral:rRNA from 1 species
UACAGAGGGUGCAAGCGUUGUUCGGAAUUACUGGGCGUAAAGCGCGUGUAGGUGGCGAUGUAAGUCGGGUGUGAAAUCCCUCAGCUUACUGAGGAAGUGCACUCGAUACUGUGUCGCUUGAGUGUUGGAGGGGAUGGCGGAAUUCCCGGUGUAGAGGUGAAAUUCGUAGAUAUCGGGAGGAACACCUGUGGCGAAGGCGGCCAUCUGGACAACUACUGACACUGAGACGCGAAAGCGUGGGUAGCAAACAGG